AAACUCAAGGUCUUCCUGCCUCAGCCUCCCGAGCACCAGCAUGCCCAGCAUUAAAUGCACUUUAGAUGUGACCAUGAAAGCCAAGUAGGAACAACAAUUGCUAAUGUGGAAGAAAAAACGCCACCUGUCUAGGCUGACAUACACCAUCAUGGCUUUAUGGAACCUAGAUAAUAUUUCCUUUCACUUUUUUACAGUUUCCCCGAUUAUUCAUACACAGCUUCCUGCCUUGGACAAUUCCUGAUCAUACUUGGUACUUGGAGGGAUGCCAAAAAACUGAGUGUGAGUCUUGGGAGAAGGAAGGUGCUCCAAGGAAAAAGCUGCCUCAUGUUAUUCCCUUCAGCUUGGCUCUUCUACCUGGAAGCAGAAGUGACUAGAAGGUAUGGCAGUUUUCAUUUUGAGAACAAACUGAAAGGAUUUGGGCUCUUCAUCAUGCAGGGGUCAAAAAGAAAUGGGAACGCCAGGCUAAAUGAGAGGCCCCAUGGCACAGCAGCCAGAAACGAACUGAAUGCUGCACCAGGCUCCCAUCAGAACAUGAGAAAGGACAGAACAGUUUCCACAGGAGGUGCUGAACAGGAAAUGGGGUAUUCCGUGGGUCCCCUGGGCUGGAAAUGCAAAUACUCCCAAUGAGAGUUUGUAAACAUUGUCAUUGGCCCAAAAUGAGAUGUUACAUAUACUUGAAAAACAGACCUGGUGCAGACUUUUGAGGUCAUGAAGAGGAAUAAAUCUGUAAUUGUGGGCUGGGUAGAUCAAAUAUGUGACUUAGCAGCACCUUCCCUACAUUAUUAUGUGGAACCUUUGUGUGUCUCUGACAUCAGAAUAUAACAUUUCUCACUGUCUAUGCCUGCAUUUCUAUCCCUACGCUUUCAUUAUAAAUCAGGUCAUUU
rnacentral:lncRNA from 1 species